GGCAGUUCUCAGGUAACGCACCCUGGAAUCGGGCUCCCUCCUCUCUGGUUCCGGGUGUGUCACCCAAGAACCGCA
rfam:Myotis davidii contig46903, whole genome shotgun sequence.